rnacentral:rRNA from 1 species
GAUGAACGCUGACAGCAUGCUUAACACAUGCAAGUCAACCUUUGGCGGACGGGUGAGUAACGCGUACAGAACUUGCCUCCCUGAUAGGGACAACAUUUGGAAACGAAUGCUAAUAGCUGACACUGUGAGAGAGCUUUGCGUCCCAUUAGCUUGUUGGAGAGGUAACGGCUCACCAAGGCGAUGAUGGGUAGCCGGCCUGCGACGGUGAUCGGCCACAAGGGGAGUGGGACACGGCCGUUACUCCUACGGGAGGAAGCAGUGGGGGCUAUUGGACAAUGGACCAAAGUAUGAUCCGGCAAUUCUGUGUGAACGAUGAAGUUUUGGGAAUGUAAAGUGCUUUCGGUUGGGAAGCAGUACCAACAGAAGAAGUGACGGCUAAAUACGUGCCAGCAGCCGCGGUAAUUC